AUUGAACGCUGGCGGCAGGCCUAACACAUGCAAGUCGAGCGAGCGGCGGACGGGUGAGUAAUGUCUGGGAAACUGCCCGAUAGAGGGGGAUAACUACUGGAAACGGUAGCUAAUACCGCAUACUAUCGGAUGUACCCAGAUGGGAUUCGCUAGUAGGGGGGGGAAGGGCUCACCUAGGCGACGAUCCCUAGCUGGUCUGAGAGGAUGACCAGCCACACUGGAACUGAGACACGGUCCAGACGCCGACGGGAGGCAGCAGUGGGGAAUAUUGCACAAUGGGCGCAAGCCUGAUGCAGCCAUGCCGCGUGUAUGAAGAAGGCCUUCGGGUUGUAAAGUACUUUCAGCGAGGAGGCGUUACUCGCAGAAGAAGCACCGGCUAACUCCGUGCCAGCAGCCGCGGUAAUAC
rnacentral:rRNA from 1 species